rnacentral:lncRNA from 1 species
AUGUCCGUCGAGUCCGGGAUGCUUCCCACGUUGCUCGGCGGGGGCGCGCGGAGCUCCUGCCCUUCCGAGUCCUGCCAAUGCAUCUUUUCGGGGUGUCUGCCCUCGUUACCGCCCUCACGGGCUGGGGGCCUUAAUCCAGGGGCUCUCGAAAUUUCCUGGAGCUCUAAGCUAUACCGUGAUGCAGCCUGGAUGGAUUCCGACCCCGAGUGCUCCUUUCCUUCGUCACCUAAAGCCCAGAGCUGGUCCUUUCCCGCCGCGGGCUGUGCACCCGGAGCCGUGGGUGCCGGGGCUUGGCGUCCCCUUCCCUUCACAGGCCUGGAGGGCGAAAUGCUGACGGCGGCCCAGAGGUGGUUCGGGGUCUUAAUCGUGGUACACGUCAUCCCGGGAUGCGGAGCGCCGGGCUUCAUCAUUGGGUGGCCCUUUUACCAGUACCUUGCGACGCUCCUGACUGCGACAAUGGCUUGUCAGCUUCGGAUCCGCCAAAACCGAGCACGAGCUCGGACCAGUCGGCUGCUAUUUUCUGCGUGCUGCUAAUUUCUGUGCAGACCUCGGGGACACUCAGUUUAAAGCUGGGGCCUAUCCAGAAUUCCUUAUCCAUAAGACAUGCUUGUGGCUGACCUCAGACAGGAAUGGCAUUGCUGGGAGAAGUGUGGCCUGGAGAUAGGAGGCCAAGGCUCCAUCCACUUUUUUGUACAAAAGACAAAUGAAGAUGGGUGUGGGGGCAACUGUUUUUAAUUGUGUCACGUUCAAGUUUUUGCAAACUGGAAUUUUUAAAGAGACAUUUCAAUGGUUUUAUAAUAAAUUAUUUUCAUUGGCUUAGUGUUGAUCUGUGCUCCUUCCAGAUUGUGAUGGGAAGAAAGACAAAGAUGUUUUCAAAAAGUGGUUUCAGCUUCUCAUAGUUUGAGGGGCCUGUGUGAAAAUUUUUUUGGAGUAGUUCCCCAAUCCCUCCUGCUCUAGAAUCAAUCUUUCAUGGCUGGGUCCCUACCAGUAAGACUGGAGAGUUUAAAAAGAGGGACUUGUCUGUUGGGAAUACUGCCCAGGAGUCUAGUCAGAUGAGGGCAAAGAAUUGCUCCUUGAUAAAUGUACACAGAGCUUUCUGAUAGCUUUUGUAGAACAGUUCAGUUACUGCUGUGAGGUUCUUUCUUAGAAACUAGAUUGGAAUGGGUUGAAGAAUUUAGAGAUGCACAUGAAGUAUGUAUAGUGGACUUUUUUGGUAAGCAGAACUGAUUUUUUUUCUUUGUAAAUAAAAUAAAUAGAUUUAUUCAUUCAUUCAUUCAUUCAUUCAUUCAUUCAUUCAUUCAUUCAUUCAUUCAUUCUAGACACAGAGAGAGAGAGCCAGAGACACAGGCAGAGGGAGGAGCAGGCCCCAUGCAGGGAGUCUGACGUGGGACUAGAUCCUGGAACUCCAGGAUCACGCCCUGGGUGGAAGGAGCCACCCAGGCUGCUCUGCUCUUCUCUUCUCUUUUCUUCUUUUUUCUUUUCUUUCUUUCGUUCUUUCUUUUAUUUCUUUUUUUUUUUUUAAGAUUUUUAUUUAUUUGAGAGAAAGAGCAUGGGGGGAGGACGGGAGGGGAGGGAGGGACAAACAGACUCCCUACUGAGCAGGGAGCCCCACUCAGGCUUGGGGCUUAAUCCCAGGACCCCAGGAUGAUGACCUGAGCAAAAGGCAGACGCUUAACUGACUGAGCCAUCCAGGUGCACCAAAACUUGGAUACUUUGUGUUGUUAGGGAACAAAGAAAUAGUUGGCAAUGCAGAGUGAGCUUGUCAUUUGCUGUGGAAAAGGGUAGAAUGUUAGGUGGGGGCAGGGAUGAUAAUCUAGAGGCAGAUGGAGAUAAUUGAGGCCUUCAAGCCUCUGUGAAAGCAAGAAGGAUGUAACCCAGAGCCCUGAUGGAGGGACUAGCUCUGGCAGAUAUAGGAGCAUAUGUAACAGGAGGCCGGAGGGUGAGGAUUCAGGGGGCUUUGUGGAGAUUCAUUCUCCCUGAAGAGAAAAUACUCAUAUAUACCUGUUUGAUAUCUGAUUACUUAUUCUAACAUUUCUCUAAGAAAACUAAAUACUUAUAUACUACUUCAUAACUAAUAAGCCAAAUGUAUUUACAAAUGUAAUCUCAAAUUUUAUAUUAGAUAUUUUGAAUGAAACUUCUAAAAUUUUAUUAAGUUACAGAUCUAAUAUUUUAGAUUCUCUUAUAUGCUAAAAACUUUAAAAAGGAGCCAAAAGGUUUUCAAAAUACAUUGGCUAGCAUUUGAAAGUUUAAGUGCUAGGUAUGUUGUUUUAGAUGUGUGAUCUUAUUCAAUAUUUAAAACCAUCUCAUAAGAUGGGUCCUCUGAUCAAUCUCUUGAAACUUAGCAACAGAGAAACUCUCAAAGAAACUAAGCAACUUGCCCAUGGUCACACAGCCAGUGAGUGGCAGAGCUGGAAUUGGAUGUAGGCUCGUAUAUUGUCUUGCCUUCUAAUUACAGUAAAUGCAAAAUAGCUUAUACUUGUUUCAUUAAAACCAGUUAGAGGGAUCCCUGGGUGGCGCAGCGGUUUAGCGCCUGCCUUUGGCUCAGGGCGCGAUCUUGGAGACCCGGGAUCGAAUCCCAUGUCGGGCUCCCGGUACAUGGAGCCUGCUUGUGUCUCUGCCCCCCCCCCCCCCUCUCUCUCUCUCUCUGUGUGUGUGACAAUCGUAAAUAAAAAAAAAAGAGAAGUGCUAGUAUCAGGACUUUAGUUUUUUGAUUAUCUCUAUACUUAUUUUAUUUUUAAAGAUUUAUUUAUUCAUGAAUGACACACAGAGAGAGGCAGAGACAUAGGCAGAGGGAGAAGCAGGCUCUUUGCAGGGAGCCGAUGCAGGACUGGAUCCCAGAUCCUGGGA